rnacentral:lncRNA from 1 species
GAUGUAAUGAACGAAAAUUAGGUGGCACGGCCAACCAUAUAAUAACGUAAAGAACAAAAAUUAGGUGGCAUAGCCAACCAUAUAAUAAUGUAAAGGACAAAAAUUAGGUGGCAUAGCCAACCAUAUAACAAAGAAACGACAGGUCGGGAGGCUCGGCCUUCCCUUUCAAGAAAGAAAAUAAACAGAAAAUAAAAACGAAGGAGGCUCGGCCUUCCUUUAAAGUAAAAUAACUAAAGUAAUAAGAUUGAAAAAGGAAC